GAUGAACGCUGGCGGCGUGCCUAAUACAUGCAAGUCGAGCGAACAGACGAGGAGCUUGCUCCUCUGACGUUAGCGGCGGACGGGUGAGUAACACGUGGAUAACCUACCUCUAAGACUGGGAUAACUUCGGGAAACCGGAGCUAAUACCGGAUAAUAUAUUGAACCGCAUGGUUCAAUAGUGAAAGACGGUUUUGCUGUCACCUAUAGAUGGAUCCGCGCCGCAUUAGCUAGUUGGUAAGGUAACGGCUUACCAAGGCAACGAUGCGUAGCCGACCUGAGAGGGUGAUCGGCCACACUGGAACUGAGACACGGUCCAGACUCCUACGGGAGGCAGCAGUAGGGAAUCUUCCGCAAUGGGCGAAAGCCUGACGGAGCAACGCCGCGUGAGUGAUGAAGGUCUUCGGAUCGUAAAACUCUGUUAUUAGGGAAGAACAAAUGUGUAAGUAACUAUGCACGUCUUGACGGUACCUAAUCAGAAAGCCACGGCUAACUACGUG
rnacentral:rRNA from 1 species